rnacentral:tRNA from 1 species
CAGAAUAUAGUUUAUAAAAAAAUAAUAAUUUUGGAAAUUAUUGAAAAGUAGUUUAACUUUUUUCUGA